rnacentral:rRNA from 1 species
UACAGAGGAGCCAAGCGUUGUCCGGAUUGACUGGGCGUAAAGCGCACGCAGGCGGAUGCGCGCGUGGGGUGUGAAAUCUGGCCGCUUAACGGCCAGGCGCCAUCCCAUACGGCGCGUCUGGAGUGAUGCAGAGGUCGAUGGAAUUGCCGGUGUAGUGGUGAAAUGCUUAGAUAUGACAUAGAACACCAAUUGCGAAGGCAGCUGACUACGCGAAUAUUGACACUGAUGCACGAAAGCGUGGGGAUCAAACAGG